GAUGAACGCUGGCGGCGUGCCUAACACAUGCAAGUCGAGCGGAAGGACGAUAAGCUUGUGUCUUUGAUGUUAGCGGCGGGCGUGUGUGUAACGCGUGUAUAACCCACUUAUAUGACUGGUAUAACUUCGAGAAACCGGAUCUUAUACCGGAUGAUAUUUUGAACCGUAUUGUUCAAUAGAGAGUGACGGCGUUGGUGUCUCUUAUAGCUGGUUCCCGGCUGCAUUGUAGAGUUGUUAAGGUAACGGCCUACCAAGGCGACGAUGCAUAGCCGACCUGAGGGGGUGGUCGGCCACACGAGAACUGAAACACGGUCAAGAGUCCUACGGGAGGCCGCAGUAUGGAACGUUAGGCAAUGGGCGAAAGCCUGACAGAGCAACCCCGCGUGAGUGACGAAGGUCUUCGGAUCGUAAAACUCUGUUAUUAGGGAAGAACAGAUGUGUACGUAGAUGUGGCCAUCUUGACGGUACCUAAUCAGAAAGCACCGGCUAACUACGUG
rnacentral:rRNA from 1 species